GGCACGGGGGCCAGGGUGCUGACCUGGUUGACGCUCUGCUUUCUUUCGUACUGGACGGGAAUGAUGUAGCCCAGGAUGGACAGCUGGUCAACGAUGUCCUCCAGAAUAGCAGACACCCUCAGCACGUCCAGAAGGAGAAAAACAAUGACAGAAUUACAAGAGCUGUGGUGUGUCUCCUCCUUAGUAGAGCAGACACACAGAGUGCAGGCUUAUUACUGGUCCGCCGAAACAGAAGUUCAUCCCUAUGUGCACCACGUACAUGCAGGAGACCAGAAUAUUCGGUAGAACUGAAAUUACAGCUGUUAGACUCAUGAUGUAGAUGCUGUGAAUCGAACCCAAGACCUCUCUCCAAAAGCAAUAUGUGCUCUUGACCAUUGAGCCAUCUCUCCAGCCUCAUCCUUUUAAGAAGAAACUCAAGUGAACCCAGCUCCAGGGAGUCUAAGGCUCUUCUCACCACUGAAAGCACCCACGCAUAAGUGAGAUACACAUGUAUGCAUAAACAGGCUUUUGGUUGCCAUGCCUGCACGGCCUGGAACCGAAACCGAAGGACGUCAGGUUUGAACACGCAUACACACCUCUCAAGCUGCUGGUAGAAGAAGCCCUUUAUUGAACAGCACCAUGGAAGUUUUAUACCUAACCCAGCCAGGUGGGCCAACAGGUGUUUAUACCUAACCCAGCCAGGUGGGUCAACAGGUGAAGACCACCGCCUGAUCCUCGGUCAAGGCCAGGGCAAGGUGUGCUCAGGAAGCAGGGUUGGUAAACAACUUUGACACAGCUCUCAGAAGCUCAAAUCAAAAGGGCAAGAAAAGGUCACUAACAGGGAGGAGCAGCUGGAGGCCAGGCCUCCAAAUGGCCUCAACAUUUGGUUUUGUAUUGGUUUUUGAGACAGGGUUUUUCUGUGUAGCCCUGGUUAUCCUGUAACUGGAUAGCUAUAGAACACAUUGGCCUCGAACUCACAGAGAUCUGCCUGCCUCUGCCUCUCAAAUCCUAGGUGUAAUGGUCUGUCCUGUCCCUUUAGGAGACAAGCCCCGCCAAGGCAAUCUCCUUUUCCAUCUCUCUCCUGAAGAGGUAGCUGCUGCUGUGUCCCCUCCCCUCGUUUCUCUUUCUCACUCUCUGCCUCUCUCUCCGUCCUUCUUCUCCCUCCCUCUCCUCUUUCCCCUUCCCUUCCCUAACCUGUAGGAGCCUCACCCCUUAUUCUCAAAGGGGCAAGAAGAAAUUUCCUAGCAGAACGUUUUCCCAGGAAGAUAGUGGCCUUCCCCUCUCCCACAAAGGAGAUUCAGAGCACAAGGUCACUUAGUCCAGCCAGCCACCUGGUAAGGGCUGAUAAAGAUGGCCUAACUCAAGAACAGUGGCCUUGCUCUAAAAACAAGGAAAAAGCUGACUUAACAGAAUGGGAGGGAGCAAGUCCUUGUACCCGUGCCAAAGCAUCUUCAGAGAUUCUCUUUGUGGUUAUGCCUUUAAAAGCUUACCCCACAGAGGAGACACAACUCCUCUCUACCUCUUUGUAAUGGGGAUGGAGAUGAGAUCCAAACAUGUUUGUAUUGUGCUGAUUAAUCCUUGCUUAUUACAGUCUGGGCCUCUCUGGUGGUCUCUCUCUGGGGGUCGUAAUCUGGGCACAACAAACCUACUAUAUAAAUAUCCAACCUCACACUCUGUGUGGCACAUCUAUCUCUGUCUCUCACCCACCAGUGUGGCUCCCUACUUGGGACCUGCUGGCUACCCCCUAGGGGAACUGUAGCGUUUUAUCUAAAGCAUAACAUUGGGAUUACAGGUGUGUGCCUCUCCCAUCUUUAUCUUUUUUUUUUCUGUCUGCUUGUUGUCUUGGUUUUUUGUGGGGGGCAGGAGUGAGAUGGAGGGUCUUAC